AUUGAACGCUGGCGGCAGGCCUAACACAUGCAAGUCGAACGGUAACAGGAAGCAGCUUGCUGCUUUGCUGACGAGUGGCGGACGGGUGAGUAAUGUCUGGGAAACUGCCUGAUGGAGGGGGAUAACUACUGGAAACGGUAGCUAAUACCGCAUAACGUCGCAAGACCAAAGAGGGGGACCUUCUGGCCUCUUGCCCUCUGAUGUGCCCAGAUGGGAUUAGCUAGUAGGUGGGGUAACGGCUCACCUAGGCGACGAUCCCUAGAUGGUCUGAGAGGAUGACCAGCCACACUGGAACUGAGACACGGUCCAGACUCCUACGGGAGGCAGCGGUGGGGAAUAUUGCACAAUGGGCGCAAGCCUGAUGCAGCCAUGCCGCGUGUAUGAAGAAGGCCUUCGGGUUGUAAAGUACUUUCAGCGGGGAGGAAGGGAGUAAAGUUAAUACCUUGGCUCAUUGACGUUACCCGCAGAAGAAGCACCGGCUAACUCCGUG
rnacentral:rRNA from 1 species